rnacentral:rRNA from 1 species
AUGAGAGUGGCGCACGGGUGCGUAACGCGUGAGCAACCUACCCAUAUCAGGGGGAUAGCCUCUCGAAGAGAGAUUAACACCGCAUAACAUCAUUAACCGGCAUCGGAUUAUGAUCAAAUAUUUAUAGGAUAUGGAUGGGCUCGCGUGACAUUAGCUAGUUGGAGGGGUAACGGCCCACCAAGGCUACGAUGUCUAGGGGCUCUGAGAGGAGAAUCCCCCACACUGGUACUGAGACACGGACCAGACUCCUACGGGAGGCAGCAGUAAGGAAUAUUGGUCAAUGGAGGGAACUCUGAACCAGCCAUGCCGCGUGCAGGAUGACUGCCCUAUGGGUUGUAAACUGCUUUUGUCAGGGAAUAAACCUUUCCACGUGUGGGAAGCUGAAUGUACCUGAAGAAUAAGGAUCGGCUAACUCCGUGCCAGCAGCCGCGGUAAUACGGAGGAUCCAAGCGUUAUCCGGAUUUAUUGGGUUUAAAGGGUGCGUAGGCGGUCCUAUAAGUCAGUGGUGAAAGACGGCAGCUUAACUGUCGCAGUGCCUUUGAUACUGUAGGACUUGAAUCUAUUUGAAGUGGGCGGAAUAAGACAAGUAGCGGUGAAAUGCAUAGAUAUGUCUUAGAACUCCGAUUGCGAAGGCAGCUCACUAAGUUAGUAUUGACGCUGAUGCACGAAAGCGUGGGGAUCAAACAGGAUUAGAUACCCUGGUAGUCCACGCCCUAAACGAUGAUAACUCGAUGUUUGCGAUACACAGUAAGCGUCCAAGCGAAAGCGUUAAGUUAUCCACCUGGGGAGUACGGUCGCAAGAUUGAAACUCAAAGGAA